rnacentral:rRNA from 1 species
AAUAGAUACCCGGGUAGUCCACGCCGUAAACGGUGGGCACUAGGUGUGGGCGACAUUCCACGUCGUCCGUGCCGCAGCUAACGCAUUAAGUGCCCCGCCUGGGGAGUACGGCCGCAAGGCUAAAACUCAAAGGAAUUGACGGGGGCCCGCACAAGCGGCGGAGCAUGUGGCUUAAUUCGACGCAACGCGAAGAACCUUACCAAGGCUUGACAUACACCGGAAAACCCUGGAGACAGGGUCCCCCUUGUGGUCGGUGUACAGGUGGUGCAUGACUGUCGUCAGCUCGUGUCGUGAGAUGUUGGGUUAAGUCCCGCAACGAGCGCAACCCUUGUCCCGUAUUGCCAGCAGGCCCUUGUGGUGCUGGGGACUCACGGGAGACCGCCGGGGUCAACUCGGAGGAAGGUGGGGACGACGUCAAGUCAUCAUGCCCCUUAUGUCUUGGGCUGCACACGUGCUACAAUGGCCGGUACAAUGAGCUGCGAUACCGCGAGGUGGAGCGAAUCUCAAAAAGCCGGUCUCAGUUCGGAUUGGGGUCUGCAACUCGACCCC